rnacentral:misc_RNA from 1 species
AACGCACAUUGCACCCUCUGGUAAUCCAGAGGGUAUGCCUGUUUGAGUGUCAUUAACAACAUCAAAUCCAGACUUUUACUCUGCGAUUUGGACUUUGAAGGCCUUGCUAACUGUCAAAGUCAGCUCCUUUUAAAUGCAUUAGCAGGUUGCAAACAACUGGCCUCAGUUUGAUAGACUUGAUCAUCUGUGCUGUCGCUAGUGAAUUUGUCUGACCGCUUCAAAUUGUCUUUGGACUGCCAUUGGGCAACACAAUUUAAGUCUUGACCUCAAAUCAGGUAGGAUUACCCGCUGAACUUAA